AUUUAUAUAGUUUAAUAAAACAUUACACUUUCAUUGUAAAAAUAAAGCAAACUUUUAUAAAUA
rnacentral:tRNA from 1 species